AGGGUAGAGGUGCUGUAAUUAAUAGUAGUUUAUAGAAGCUGGCAAGUGUUGAUUAUAAAUGAAAGGAAGUGCAGCCGAAGAAAAAUUAUUGGCAAAUAAUUUUUCUGGUACUAUACAUAAUAUGUAUAAUACUGUCACUUAGUAAUAAGUGGUGAGCUACAAGG
rnacentral:ncRNA from 1 species